UAUUUUUUUCUAUUUGUCCUUUUUUUCAUUUGAGUACCUACAGAUGAAAAACUGUUUCAGGUAGGCUUAAUCUCUACUCUUUACUGCAGCACUGGGUACACUCAAUAAUGACAACCCUGCUGCGUAGAGAACAGCAAUUCUUUUCUUUCCACACAUAGUUGAUCUAGUGAGAUGUGUGCUACAAGCCACACAGAUUGCCUGCAAAGAAAGAAGCAAAUCUCCUUUAAAAGAACUAUUUCAUAUACAGAUAAUACAGAAAGCUGGAUAACCCCCAGAGUUUUUCCAGCUCUUACAAUGGUGACACAGACUCUAAUGAGCUCUGUAAUUGUAGCUCUCUCCUUCCCAGUCAGCUCCUUUAAAGCCAGCUUUUUGCAGAGAGGAUUUGCACAUCUUCUCUUAUAAACUAGAUAUUUCAAAGAAACAAAUACCAUCGUCCAGCACACCUAAUCUGGGUAAAAGAGAAUUAACUAAAUACAGAUUUGUUCAUUAUUUGUUUAUUUUCAUGUUUAAAUUAUACUUCAGUACCUGACUGCAAAGGAGAUGCUAUUUUGUCAUGGCAGUUCUUCUGGCAGCUUGUUAACCAAGAUGGAUAUUUGGAUGCCUUAAUCAUCCAUUUCAACGUGACGCACGCUGGAUAGCAAUGUGAGACAGCAUGAAAUAUUCUAACAUAUCACUGCUGCAGGAACAGGAGAGGUCCACUUUUCCUCACUUCAGAGCUGCACUCCUGCAGCUGAGCUGCCAUUUCCAACCAUUGCCAUCAUGGUGCCAUCCAAUCCAACAAGAAACUGUCUGUAAAAGAGAAACCUGUCAGGAACUGGAAGCUGCUAAGGGAAAUGUUCCUCAGCAUCAGAGCAAUCCCCACAGAACGGGCAAGGCAAUGUGGAUGGAAGAAUGGCAGGAGGGAAGGGCAGUGAGAGCUCCUAUUUUCUGGUGCAGUUAGGUGUUUGACCAGCUCAGGUGCUCACACAGGUGCAGCAUCAGCUCUUCCACCUUCCUAACUUUUAAACUGACACCGUAAAUGGUAGUUUGCAUCUCUGUAAAACGUAACAAUAGUUUGUUUAUGGAUUUUAACAAAUCUAUUAGGUAAUUUGAAAUGAGUUUCUCAGUGUAUUGAGUGUAAUCUCUUCAGCAGUUACAUUAUUUAUUUUUAUUCAGCUUGAUAAGUAGACUAAUUUUAGAUUCCUCUAAACAUGCUCCAAAACAUCUAUUUGGAUAAGAUGUAUCACUAACGUGCCCUUGCACCAGGAAAACCUUAGUACAUAGUGCAGGAAAAACGAAACACCAAAACAAUGCAUCCAUCAUCAGUAGAGCGUUUCCUAAAUACUCACAGGAAAGAAAGAUAAAGAUGCCUUUUUCCAUGAGUCUGCAUGCUGUCACGUGGUACAACAACAACCACAACAAAAAUGACAACUCAGGGAAAUAGAAUCUUUUAAAUCAUUUUUUCUACCACUAAGAAAGACAUGUACAUCGUUCUUUGUAUUUCUAUAGUUGUAUGUGUAUGAGAGCCCACUGAUCAUGACAGAAAAGUAAAAUCAAAUAAUUCUGCUUUGUUUUCAUAGGGGUGACAUGGUAUCUUUCCUUCUGAGGUAUUCUAGUAUGCUGUGUCAAUUUCUUGAUGCUGAUAAUGGAGAAAGGAAAGGAAAUCAUUUCAUGUGCAAUAUCUAGUAUUCUGGAUAAUCUGUAGCUGCUCAUCUAUUCCAAGAAAUCCUGGAGAAUGCUCCCUUACUUGAGAAUUACUCUAGUAGUCAGGACCUAGCUGGAAUAACUCCCCUGAACUGAGUCUUUACUGCUGACUCUCAAGAGACACAACAAAUCAUCAGAUCUGAAAAAUAAGGAUCUUCUAGAGAGCCCACUGGAGGGCCACAAAGACAGUUAGUGUACUGGAGCACCUCCUGUAUGAAGAACAGCUGAGACCCCUGGCACUGUUCAGCCUGGAGAAGAGAAGGUUGAGGAGGGAAUCUCAUCACUGUUUGUAAAUAUCCAAAGUAGGGGAGUGAAGUGGGUGGACCAAGACACUGAAACAGUGGUGUGCAGCAAUAGAACAAGGGAUAAUGGGCAAAAACUGGAACGGAAUAAGUUCCAUUCAAACAAGGAAGAAGUUUUUUCUUUACCGUCAGAAUUACGGAGCACUGGAACAGGUUGCCUAGAGACACUGGGGAGUCCCUUCUCUGGAUAGUCAAGACCUGUCCAGAUGCCUUCCUGUGAGAUCUACUGUACGAAACCUGAUUUAGCAGUGGACUGGACUAGAUGAUGUCUAUAGGUCCUUUCCAACCCCUACAAUUCUACGAUUCUGUUACUCAGACACAUGAAUUCCUCUUACUGAUACAUUUAAGACUAACUCAAGCGCUGUUCUCAAGUGCUGUUUCUCCAUGUGACUUUAUCAAUUUAUAGAUUUUUCCGUUAACUUACUUCACUCUCACUGCAAGAAAUAUAACCAACUUUUCCAGAGUUUGCAUUAUUUUUUCCCUUGUAUAUUUUCCUUGCUCAUUCAAGCGUAACUACUUUAAAAGUUCUCGUCUGUUAAUGUGAAGGCCUUCACUUCAGACAAUGUAAGUAUUGUUUACUAUCUACUUCAUGCUAUCUACUUCUUUUAGUUUCCACAGGAUUUUCUUGGUUAAUGGUAACAAUUGCAUUAUUUUCUUUAAAACAGUACCCUAAAUAAAUCUUUUCCAAUAGCAUAGUGGAAAUGCUAAGUCAUGGCUUGAACCAGUGAUGGAGCACCUGGGCUCCCCAGGUGCACGUAAUGCCCCUGAAUGACCAGAAGGGGUGGAGCCAGGAUCCCUUCCCAGACCUCAUUUAAGGGCUGGCAGUGGAGGCAAGAGUAUUUUUCUGGAGACUCUUGUGUGCUUGAGGCCUUCUGAAGAAACUUCUGUUCAAGACUGUGCUAGUACCUGAACCAAAGCAACAUCCUCCAUCUUGGAAACUUGAGCACAUUGGUGGCAACAAGCAAUACAGUGACAGACACACAAAAUCUCUACAAAGCAAAUAGCCCUCAAUAGAAAGAGAAAAGGUUUACCAGAGUGAAACUAAUUACUUAUGACACACAUCUAAGAGCUAAACAUGUUUCAGCAGUGAUGAAGACAACCACUAUGAAGCAAUAAACUUCAAAAACUGGAUUUCUUGAGGAUGUAUUCCACCUGUUCAUAACUAAAUCCUAGUAAGUCUCUUACUCAGCAUGCUGCCUGAAGACAGAUGAUGGCUGUCUAAUUAAAGAAACACAUGGAGAAACGUAAAUGUGUCUUUAGAAAUUUAGCUUCAAAAGAUAAUGAUGUUAACUGACAGUACAAUGCCCCAGUACGUACGAGGGUCAAACAAGUAUGACAGCUUCCUUCUGGUAUGAGCUGAGCCAAUCAUGUAACUCUAAAGCAUUUAAGUAGAAUGUUCUUAGAUUCAAAUAAAUAAAGAUAAAAAAGACUUAACAUUUAAAACAAGAAAAGAGAGAAAUAGAUUAAAUUACCACAGAAAGCUGAAUGCAAAUGGCUAGUGAGGGAAUUUAAAAUUAUGUAAAACUUAAGGAAAAAAAAACCACAAAACAUAGGAUAAAAAAGUUUGCUAAAGAAACAUUUUCCGAAAGAAACCAAAGAAAGCAAAGAAAAACUGUGGAUCGUCUGAAACAAGUCUGACCCAAAGUUCCCUCUAUUUAAUGGACUCUACUAAGGGUGGAAAGACUUUCUUGACCUCAUAGCAAAUUCAAAUGAAUAAUUCUAGGCAUGCAGCAACAGGAACACGUACAGCAACAUGUAUUGUUAUUCCACAAUCCUAGGGCCAGACAAGUCACUGUGCGUAAGAAUCCAAUCUUCCUCAUCCUUUCCUAGAAGACAUCAGUAUGAGUUAGAGUCAUUAGUUCUAUCUCAGAACUGAAAUCUGGAGAUUCUAGGCCAUGCAUUUUUAUUGAUAAAAAUUAUAACACUAAUUGUGAUACAGAACUAAAGGUGAACUGUGACAGUGACUUGUAUCACCAGUCAAAGCAGAAUUUAACCUAGAAAUACACAAUACUAUGGCAGUGGAAAACUAGUAAUAAAUUUAAGUGCAAAAAAUCAUAUAAUACAAAGAGAAAUUAAGGGACACAAAAGCAUUCUGGGAAAAGUAAAAAGUUUUCAAAUUUAUGUUAUGCGAGUGAAGUUUUAAGGAUUCUGGUGAUAAAACUAAAUCAGGAGUUUUGCAAACACAAGGAUUAGCAAGAUCGGGAUUCCCACUGAUUUUUACCUCAGCUGACCACAGAACUGAAUUGGAGUUUCUCCUGCUCUUUACUUCAUCUCUCCUGCACCCCAGGUUGUUCUCUCUUAUAUGAUACCACAGAAGUUCUCAUGCAGAACACAACUGUAGGCAUCAUCUUUUUCUCCUAUCCCCAUUUUCAUAAUAUCACGAAAAGUGUAAUGACCUUAGAGACAGGUUAUGCCUGUAAGUUUUUCUGAACAAGGCCAGUAGGUUCUGAAUAUGCUAGAUGGGGAGAGUCAACAAGACAAGACUGCAUAAAUACGUUUUCCUGAGAAAUAAGGCUAGCAAGAACAGAAAUGGGGAUAGACUGUUUUUUUGUGCUCAUUUAUAUUAGGUGAGCUGUUUAUUUUCAAGCUUGUACAGGUCUGAGAUGUUGGUAUUAUCCCAUUAUUGGGAUUUCUUAAUAUGUUUUUAUAUAUCAUCAUCCAAUAAACAAUAAGAUCUAUUUAUUUAGGCAGUGAGUCUGAACACACUGUUAUUAGUCCAAGUUUCUGGCAGGAUCUUUUCCCCGAGGUUAAAUGGCUCCUUUCCAAACUAUACUUUGGCAGAGAUUUUGGCUGUUCUUAGACUCAUGGUGUUUCCCUCUUGUUGUAUUCCUAAGUGAUUACACAACAAUAAAAUCUUGACAACUAAUGUUUUGAAUUUCAGAUAAAUUAUUUAAAUAGUGAUUAUACCAUUAUGAAGUCAUUUAAAUUUUGCUCCUUUAUACUGCAUUAUCAAUCAACUAGUGUGUCAGAGAUAUCGAGGCUUUACAUUGUCACAACAGAUACUCUAUAAAUUCUGAGUGUGAAGGUUUCCUACAGUAUGAGUGUAUGUGUGUUAUAAUAGCUGUUCUUACCAUAAAUAAUAGCUGAGAUUAUAGUAAUUGCUUCAGGGUUUUUUUUUUAGUUUAUUUGCAAAGGCUAGCAUAAUGUAAUAUCUAAAACCAGCUGAGCUGUCUCAGUACAAGCUGAGGCAAGACAAGCUGAAGUUUUAUUUAUAGUAACUUAAUAGCAAAUUCAAGAAGUAAUUCUAGGUAACAAAGGCGAUAAAGAAUUGUAUUUCAGUUCCAUGGUUCCAAGGAAAUUUGUUUAAAUUAGCUGCUCUUCCCCCAGGUGCAACUGUGCAAGACUGAAGCAGUUAAAAGAUACUGUGUUUGGAGGUCAAGCCUGAAUAUAGUUACAAACAUUUAAAAUUAUUUCUGACUGUUCUAAAUUAGAGACAUACUACAUACAUAACUAAUAAAUAUGAAGCUUGCCUGCUAUUAGGCCUAUGUACUUGAAUACAGAGACAGAACAAGGGGUUUGGAAUGCCUGAACUCUUAGUCAUUAAAGUAAACAGGGGACGCAUUCAAAACUCAGUUCAUUUGUCAACCUGGCAGCAGCUGAAAGAUUUCUGCAUAUGAAAUACAGGAUCAUCUGGCUAUCAAGAAUGUUUAAGACCUUACCUAUUGAUCUCUUUCAUCUGCUUAAAUAAUUCAAAAUGUUAACAUGCCUAAAAAAUUCUGAUUAAAGUUUUUGUGCAUAUAAACCUCAAAACAGUAAGGAGAAGAUGAUACUAAUGCUACUAAACAAAAUCAGCAUCAGACAUCCCAAAUAACUGACUGAAAACCUGGAAAGAACAGAAAUUUGACUGCUGGGGGAGAUGUGGGGAAAGGGGAGGAUGGAAAGAGGGAGGGAGAAUUGUGUACAUUUUAUGCCUUUGUAGAGAAAGACUUCAAAGAAAAAACUAUUGAAAAGUAAGAAACUAGAAAAAGAUGGAAAAAUUAUUAAUGAUUCUAGUAGAUGCUUAAAAACAAAAAGAUCAAUACAAUAUUAUUUAUGACUGCAAGCUAGGUAUAACUUCUGUACCAAGGAUUUACAGUCUCUGCAAAACUCAGGUUUUGUAUACUAAAUCUCUGAAGUAGAUUCAUAAAGUUGGAAACUGGAGGGCUUCACAAAUACAAUAAUAUAUUAGUAAUGUACUCUUUACAAUUUACUUUUAAUAGAAACAUACAUACAUUUAUAAGAAUAAAGCUGCAUCUAAAGCACAUUCUAGUUUUGGGUCCCUUGCUAAGAGAAGAAGAGAGGAGAACUAACAAGAGAGAUUUUACUUGAGGACGACUAAAGUAGUUACAGGUAUAUUGAGGAAGACUAAGGGAGUUAAAGACAAGGGGAAGCUGAGGGCACCAUGCUUGUUAUGCCUGCAAAAGAGAAGUAACUGCAGCCUUUCCCAAUAACUAGAAUAGAGUUAUAGAAAAUGUGGAACCAGACUCUUCUCUGAGGCUCAUAACUAAAGAACAAGAAGCAAUGUGAUUCACAGAUCCCUUCAAACUUAUAUUUGUCCAUGGAUGCAUUUCAUCUUGUCCAAAGUUUCAAAAUUCAUUAAAUCACAUAACUUGUUUGUCAAGCUACACAGAAGAGACUAUCAGGAGAAGGAUGCAGCUUUGAAGAGCUAUUUGAUAAACAAAACAAAAGAUUUUUCUUACAUCAGGAAAGCACGUGAAGUCAUUCAAUUUUACUGAAGCAUGCUACUUUGAAAAAGAAGCAAUUCUGCUGAGAGAAGCUGAAGAUUACUUUAAAGUCUAUGAAAAUAAAUAACAGCUAAAUUUUGAAACAGUUGAAAAGGGGAAGAACAACUUAUUGUUUAUUUCUCAUGUGUAAUAGUAUGUGAUAAACUCUAAGUUUGAUAUAAGUACAUUUUGAUCCAAAUAAUUUUUCAUUUAAGUCAUUAUUCUUGUAUUUUUGUCUUUUGAGAUUGUCCAGAUCUGUUUCCAUGGCCAUGCAGAGAAACAUAAAUACUGAUACUACUAAAGUUUACACCAACCUAUAUUGUUAAGCUAAGGAGGCAAUUAAUAGAAGAUAAAUACCUUAUCUUACUUUUCUUUAUUCAUUUUUAAGAGAAAAAGAUGAAAAUCAAGUCACCAACACCUACUUCUGUUCUUUGAUUAAAAUCCAACAGCAAGGAUGCUAUCUUUAUCCUAUGCCUUUCCAUCUUUUUUCAGUUCUAGCACUGAAAUGUUACAGCUUGAAAAUGAGAUGUAAAUAGAAAUAGCAAUUAUUCUAUGUCAAGAACAAAGAGAUGACAUUUAAGGAGAAUCUGUUCACACCAGAAGCCAGACUAAAUUAAGUCUUGACCUAUACCACUGUGAUGCUAUCAGAAUCUGGCUCCAUGCCAGUAAGUCUUAAUAAUGCCUCAGCAAUCUAAGCUGAGCUAUAAAUAAAAUUAACUUACAUAUAGAAAAGAAGGAAAGCAACAUACAGUUGUUAAAAACCAUUUUAAGUUAACAGAAAAGUAAUAAAACAUUAUUUUAGUAGAUGAAGCAACUAGUGUAAUCAAGACUGACUAAUACAAAACUUUAAUAUACGCCACUAAUAAAGAAGAGAUUCCCAAUCAAAGCUCUAAUUCUACCUAGGCUUUUAAAGGUCACUCAGGUGUCAUCUCCACAAUGACUUGAUUCAUCUGGGGGUUGUGCCUGUGUGCAAAGUGGGAAGUGAGAGAAUGAUUAUCUUGUUGUUCGUUCUGUCUGCCUUUUUUUUCUGAGAAACAUUUAAGGGAUGCUUUGAAUCAUUUGUCUUUUUAUAUAAUAAUAAUAUUAUUUUUGAAAUAAUUUGAAAAAAAAUCUGCAACUAGAAUAUAGAAUUUUAGACAACAUA